GUGUACGUGUAUGCUACCUUUUAUAUUUUGAAAAUUAGUAUUAUUAUAAAUUAUAUAUAUUAUUUCUAUAUUUUAGUUCGCAAUACCGAUGCAUCAAAAUCAAUUGAUUCGCCAAUUGUCAAAAAAAUACCAAAAAAAUACAUUUACAUAUUCAGACAAUUCAAAUAUAUGAAAUGUUCGAAUUUUAUCUGCCAAGUCUAAUAUACAUACAUAUACAUGUGUGUCAUGAUAAGAGCAUGUGCAGUGUGCAUAAACAUCUGCAGCAUAAAAAACCGAAAAGAUCAGUUUUUGUCGCAUGUCGCUAUGUCAAUUUUUCGCUGAGUUAUAACGUUUUAAAAAUCUGGCAGAUGUAUCAUCUAAAAAUAGACGUGGAAGCGUGCGGCACGCGGAGUGCACGGAAUGCGACAACACACGGAAGAGUUAUUUUUUAUGCUACGGCCUAGACACCUGCUAGACAUAGUACCGUUAUGGAGCAUUGACCUCCAAGGAACAUCGGUCGACUUCGACCCAUGUCGGAAUCAUUCGAUGCGAUCAAGGGUCGAUGGUACUGUCAAUCUCUUUCCUAAGGGAGACACGAGAGAGUUGGAGAGAGUGCAGGAAAUGCAGCAAACAAAUGAAAAGCAAGAAUUUAGCAUAUCUGAAGGCCAGAAUCAUUUAUCUCGGGUGAAGGAACUAAUAUAGAAAUACCAAUGUGCUUGUGGAAUGAAUACCUUAUUCUGUUCUGAAUUCUGCUGUAUGAAAAGUGUCUCAACAUGAGUUUGACAAAUAAAUGUUAAAUUGAUUGAUUCAACGCCUAAUUUAAGUAAUCAACACUGGUAUUUUAUGUUUAACACAAUCUCUGUUCAGAGAUAUGUGCUUCUUACUGAUGCAACAAAGCAGGAUAAUCAAGGCAACUUGAAAAUGUGGAUUCUGUUUCAAUAGUAUAUGAAGUUGUCGAUUGUGCAAAUCUUGAGUUUUGUAUCCCACAUACAGAGAAUGCCAUCAAGAAUUGGAAUUUGCACUGCACAAGAACACCUUUUAUCUUCAUCGAGCAGGAAUCACUUAUAUUGUGCCAAGGUGCUUAGAUAAAGGGCUGUGGGGCUCUUUAUGAAUAAAAGUGGUGACGAAUACUCUCCUAAUGUACAAAACUAUUGACAUUGUGAUAGUCAAUGUUUGUCAGAUCUUGUUAAGCAUUUCUCAAACUAUUGGAAGACCAAUCUGUAAGCUGUUAUUCUUAUUACAUUGUCUUACUUGAUGAGUGCAUAUUAUAUUCUCUAACAUCAAUUUGUCAUCCUCUUAAAAAAAA